AUGAACGCUGGCGGCGUGCCUCAUACAUGCAAGUCGAGCGAACAGACGAGGAGCUUGCUCCUCUGACGUUAGCGGCGGACGGGUGAGUAACACGUGGAUAACCUACCUAUAAGACUGGGAUAACUUCGGGAAACCGGAGCUAAUACCGGAUAAUAUAUUGAACCGCAUGGUUCAAUAGUGAAAGACGGUUUUGCUGUCACUUAUAGAUGGAUCCGCGCCGCAUUAGCUAGUUGGUAAGGUAACGGCUUACCAAGGCGACGAUGCGUAGCCGACCUGAGAGGGUGAUCGGCCACACUGGAACUGAGACACGGUCCAGACUCCUACGGGAGGCAGCAGUAGGGAAUCUUCCGCAAUGGGCGAAAGCCUGACGGAGCAACGCCGCGUGAGUGAUGAAGGUCUUCGGAUCGUAAAACUCUGUUAUUAGGGAAGAACAAAUGUGUAAGUAACUAUGCACGUCUUGACGGUACCUAAUCAGAAAGCCACGGCUAACUACGU
rnacentral:rRNA from 1 species